rnacentral:rRNA from 1 species
UACGUAGGUGACAAGCGUUAUCCGGAAUUAUUGGGCGUAAAGAGCGCGCAGGUGGUUAAUUAAGUCUGAUGUGAAAGCCCACGGCUUAACCGUGGAGGGUCAUUGGAAACUGGUUGACUUGAGUGCAGAAGAGGGAAGUGGAAUUCCAUGUGUAGCGGUGAAAUGCGUAGAGAUAUGGAGGAACACCAGUGGCGAAGGCGGCUUCCUGGUCUGCAACUGACACUGAGGCGCGAAAGCGUGGGGAGCAAACAGG